GUUGCUUCCGCCUCCCGGGGCGCAGGCGCUGGGCGCGGCGGGGAAGGGACUCGGCACUGGGGAAACCCGGAGUUUCAGCCAGGGUCCCAGGGCUUCCUUCCCGGGUUCCUGCCGGAAAACUUUUCUCCUCCGCCCGGAAGCCUCGAUGGGGCAGUGAGAUCGCGGGGCGAGGUGGGAGUGUGGGAGGGGGCCGCGGGCAGAGAGCGGGAGUCCGGCUGGGUGGGAGAUCUCCUGAGCCGAAGCUGGGUCUCGCCCCAGCGUGGCGCCACCGACCCGCAGGCUUUUCCUGCUCUGCAGAUGGAGAGACACAGGGACGCUCCUCAGCUGCGACAGCAGAAGACACUUAGGCGGCCUGAGGGGUUGGUGAACCACAGAGGAGCUCAGCUUCGCCUGGUCUCCAGCUCCCGGUGGCGGUGGCGUGUCCUUAAUGCUGCUGGCUUUGAACUGGACUGAGAACUAUUUACCACACAAACACCACCAUUUCAAUCCCGGAGAAUGCCUGUUUUCCCUAGGGUGACCUGGCCGGGGUAACAAACACUUGUUCUCUAAUUCCACGGUCAGCCUUGACUUAAUUGAGGUACUUGAUUUCCAACUUCCUGUCUUGCUGCCACAGAUAAUCACUGAUGAAACCAAACAGGCAACACCUUUUGGUGGCCUGUGGAGAGCGCUGCCCCGUCUGGGUCUUAGGAAGGCAAUUGAAUAUGAAUGUUCUCCCGAGUGCUUGUGGAAAAGAGAUGGUGUUGGCCACUUUUUAGACGAAGAGAAAUGAGUACUAGUGAACACUAAUCAUAGUGACUAAACAGUAAACGGCUCCCAUUUGUUGUCGGCUAAAGCACUGAUUCUUCAUUUUCCAUCCCAGCCUGUCCUGCUCUGGCCUGCCCUGUGCUCAGGAAGCUGGCGGUCCCCCUCAGUGGAUCUUCACCCACAGGGACAACCUGCUGCAGACCGGGUAGGAGGGAGGCAGGGGCCUCUUCCCCUCUCCUUCCUGGCCUGGCCCCACACCCACCAGUGUUGGUUUCACUCUGUGGCUACGAUUCUUCCUGGGUGCCCUUUCCAUUGCACAACUCCUCUAGGCUCUACGAACAGAACUUCUCCCCGCCCCCAAGCCUCUUAGGGUGAGACAUGUUGUCGGUCUGCCAUUGUUGCUGGUCCCUAAAUAGCAGCACCCUUUGAAGGAUCCUUGAACCAUGACCACACCGCAACAAAGAGUCCUUCAUCAAACUCGCUUCCAAAUCCCCUCCCAAGAACACCUUCAGUUUCCUGCAAGAACCCUGACUGCUGAAGCCGGAUUUUGACUAAGCUUCUACCUUGUAAACCGUGACUGUGGGAUUGGGGUCGAGGCGCAAUCAGAGGUUGUAUAAGGCACUAGAUCAAGGCUGCCUGUCUGUCAGGAGUGUCUGCUUUAUUCAGUAGUAAAUGUGAAUUGUUUUUCAUUCUGUUGUGAAUACUGUUGGUUGACAAUGCAGCAGCCAUGCCCUCUCUAUCCUUGCUGGUUCAGGUAUCCACUCUGUGUGGCUAAGGGUAAACUCUGUCUCUUGAGAAAAUCUUGGUAACUCCAUUUCUCUUUCCAACAAUUGGCUUCAAACAAGCUCAAGUCAAUGAGUCCCAACAGGAAGCCUGCUGGGGGUUGUCUGGCAAAGGUUUUCUCACUCCUACAGGAACAUAAAGAGGAAAUGCUCCUUUUUCCCUGGUGAAUGUUGCAUUCCCUGUCUGGAUGCAAUGCCUGGUGCUCCGCAGCCCUUUGCACUUAUAAGAGAAGGUGGCCGGAAGAGCAUCUUCACCCUGGGGUGGCCGCCUGGGAAGAUGAGAAGAGCAGGAGUCCUUGGUGGCACAACCAGGCAAUUCACCAAAAUCCUGCUGCCCUCACCUGGAAUUUCCUGCUAUGAGAGACGUCUCCGUUUAAACCACAUGAGCUGGAUUUUCUGUUUCUAACACAUGUCAGCAUCUUCACGGUAAAUCUAAGAAAAAAAAAUCAGGGCUAUUAAAAAACAAAGUCCAACUCACCCUGUGCUAUGGUCUGAAGGUGUCCUCCCAAAUUCACACGUGGAAACCUAAUCCCAAAUACCUGAUACCUAAUCCCAAAUAUUAAGAGGUGGGGGCCUUGGGAGGUGGUUAGGAAUGGGAUUAGUGCCCUUUAAAACUGAGGUUUUUGGGAGCCUGCUUGCCCUUUCUGCCAUAUGAAGAUGCUUAGAAGAGGCCUUCUAUGAAGCAGAGAACUUUUCUCAGAUGCCAGAUCUGCUGGGACCUUGAUCUUGGAUUUCUCAGCCUUCAGAACUGUGGGAAGCAAACUUCUGUGUGUAUGAAUAGCCAUCUAAAGGAUUUUGUUACAGCAGCCUGAGCAGACUAAGACACCCUGUGAGUCAGUUAUUUUUGGCUGUGUCACGAGUGACCGCGAGUGCAGGAGCUGAAACGGCAGUGAGUGGGUUACCAUUUCUCAGGACCCUGCGGAAUUGGUGCGAUGGUGCUUCUGCUCCACCUGUUGUUGGCUGGGAUUGUCCUGCAGCUGCAUUCUUCUGGGGGUCAGCUGGGGCUGGAAGCUUCCUGUGGUCUAGUCACACAGCUGGGGUCUCAGCUAGGGUGAUAGAACACUGGGGGCAGGCCGGCCUUGCUGUCUCUCUCUGGCUUCUCAUCAUUCAGUGGUCUAGCCUGAGUUUUUUACAUGGCAGCUCAGGAGGGUCAAUGUGGACGCUAUACAGCCUGUAAGGCCCGGGUUUGGAAGUCCAAGAAUAUGACUUCUACCAUGUUCUACUGGUGAAUAUAAAUUCCAAGGCCAGCCUAGAUUCAAGGGAUAAGAACGUAGAUUUCACUCCUUGAUGGGAGGAUCCCAUGUACAGACAGGGAUCCUUAUGAGGGAUUAUGAGAACUCCUAAUCCUUAUGAGGGAUUAUCAUACAGAGAAUUUAUGGGGGAUUAUCUUUGGAAAUAAUCUACCAUAGACUGAAUAAAUGAUAAUGUAAUGUGUUGGUGCCCCUCCCAGUGCAUUCAAAAGUGAAACGACUGCCAGAACUCCAGGGCCUGCAAGUUUCUUCCUUCACAUCUAAGCAGAAGGAGAGACUUCACAGUGACGUGCCAGCUAAGUCACGUGCCCACUCCUGCCCAGUCUGUCACGCAAGUAGCAGAGUCCCUGAGAUGAUUGGCUUAGGCCCGAGGUCAGUGCACAUCACCAAACUAGUAAGUGUCCAAGGGGAAUGAAAUUGUCUUCGCCUCAAAUAACCAGGACCUACCCCUGACCCACUGCGAGCACAGCUGCUUCACAGUGCUGGAGGGAUGGGAUGAAUGAGGAGGAGGCAACAGCUAGGAGGCCAACCCCAAGACUUGAAAUUGUGGGUUUGCAAAUGGGUGCUUCAGGUGACACCCUGGCCACACCCUCACCUACACACAGACUCAUAAACACCUAUCCUGCAUUCCUCCCUCCACCUUUCUUUCCAAAGAAAUCUUGGAUUCAUUGGCCCCUAAGUGAAAAAAACUGGGGGGAAAUAAGGGAGUGGGGGCAAAAAAAUGAGGUCUUCCUGCAAAGACAGUUCAGAAGAAUUGUUGCACCGAGACCUGAAAUGACAAACCCAAAGCCAGAGCCAACUGCUGUAGACACAGAACCAGGAAGUGUGAAUUAUUAAUGAGUGUCAUUUUGGUGCUAGAAAGAGCUAUUACCUGAGGGUGGUGACUCAAGCUGGGCCUCCGAGGGCAAACAGCCUUGCUCCUCCAAGUUACUGGCCCAUGCUGUGCACACGUGUCUUCAGUCGCUAUCCCCACAGGUCCAGAAUUACCUAGGUGACCAUCUCCCCAGGGAUUGGUCCUAAAGUUCUUUUUUUUUUUUUUUUUUUUCCUUUGAGACAGGGUCUUGCUCCGUCUCCCAGGCUGGAGUGCAAUGGUGUGAUCCAGGCUCAUCACAACCUCUGACCCCCAGGUUCAAGUGAUUUUACUGCCUCAGCCUCCCCAGUAGCUGGGAUUACAGGCACCCACCACCACACCUGGCUAAUUUUUGUAUUUUUGGUAGAGAUGGGGUUUCGCCAUGUUGCCCAGGCUGGUCUUGAACUCCUGACCUCAGGUGAUCCACCUGCCUUGGCCUCCCAAAGUGCUGGGAUUACAAGUGUGAGCCACUGCACCCAGCCCCUAGAGUUCUUCAAUGGCAGAAACGUCACUUUCUGCCCCUCCGCAGGCCAUUCUCUAACCUCCCUGGUCCCUUGGUCUGGAAUCUUCUGCCCCACCCCAUGUUUGGCCCCCUCUUAGUCAUUCUCAGAUGCCAUCUCUCCCUACACCUGCCUGGGUUCCGGCUCGGUUAUCACUAAUCACUCCCCCACUUAGCAUUCCUAAUGGCACCACUUAGUAAAGCUUAGUUAUUUUUCCACAGCAGUAUUUCUCAACCCCGGUUACAGAUUAAACUCACUUAGGGAAUUUUUUUUUAACCAAUAGCACUUCCCCAGGCUGGGCGUGGUGGCUCACGCCUGUACUUCCAGCACUUUGAGAGGCCAAGGUGAGACGAUUAGGCAACAUAGCAAGACCCCAUCUCUACAAA
rnacentral:lncRNA from 10 species